rnacentral:rRNA from 1 species
UACGUAGGGGGCAAGCGUUGUCCGGAAUCAUUGGGCGUAAAGAGCUCGUAGGCGGUUUGGUAAGUUGGAUGUGAAAUCUCCGGGCUCAACUUGGAGGGGUCAUUCGAUACUGCCAUGACUAGAGUUCGGUAGGGGAGUGUGGAAUUCCUGGUGGAGCUGUGAAAUGCGCAGAUAUCAGGAGGAACACCCGUAGCGAAGGCGGCACUCUGGGCCGGAACUGACGCUGAGGAGCGAAAGCGUGGGGAGCGAACAGG